rnacentral:rRNA from 1 species
GCGGUUGCUUCCAUGCAGUCGUACGAGAGUUUUUAACUCAAGUGGCGGACGGGUGAGUAACACGUAAGAAUUUACCUUUAGGAGGGGGACAACAACGGGAAACUGUUGCUAAUACCCCAUAUGCUUUCGAGUGAAAUGGAUUUAUCCGCCUAGAGAGAGGCUUGCGGCUGAUUAGCUUGUUGGUGAGGUAAUGGCUCACCAAGGCGACGAUCAGUAUCUGGUUUGAGAGGACGAUCAGACACACUGGAACUGAGACACGGUCCAGACUCCUACGGGAGGCAGCAGUGGGGAAUUUUCCGCAAUGGGCGAAAGCCUGACGGAGCAAUACCGCGUGAGGGAUGACGGCCUAUGGGUUGUAAACCUCUUUUUUCAGGGAGGAAUCAAUGACGUGUACCUGAAGAAUAAGCAUCGGCUAACUCCGUGCCAGCAGCCGCGGUAAGACGGAGGAUGCAAGUGUUAUCCGGAAUCACUGGGCGUAAAGCGUCUGUAGGUGGUCAAAUAAGUCAACUGUUAAAUCUUGAGGCUCAACCUCAAAACCGCAGUCGAAACUAUUAGACUAGAGUAUAGUAGGGGUAAAGGGAAUUUCCAGUGGAGCGGUGAAAUGCGUAGAGAUUGGAAGGAACACCGAUGGCGAAGGCACUUUACUGGGCUAUUACUAACACUCAGAGACGAAAGCUAGGGUAGCAAAUGGGAUUA